rnacentral:lncRNA from 1 species
GCCCCAUCUUGGCCCUCCGGCGCCGCGGCGGGAUCCUUUGGGCGCUUCUCCGCCCGGCGCCGCCCGCCCCGCCUUCCUGGGUCUCCCGCGUCCUCCGGGGGCCGCCCGGCUGGGCUUCGUGGAGGCGGCGGGCGGGCGAGCGAGGAGGGGAAGCAGCGGCCCCGAAGUCCCGGGGGGGGGGCCAGGAGAAGCGCCUGGCGGCGGGAGGCCGAGCCAGCCCUCGCUCCGCCUGGACCGAAGACGCCGAUCCAGGCAGGACGCCGCUUUCCUGUCCUCCUCAAGGCCCCGCAGGCCAGCCAUGCAGGGCAGAAUCGGGACCCGGGUCCAUCCCUCAUGAGGAGCCCUGCAUAAAUGAGAGAACUUCCCGUGCCCAGUGAGGGAAGGCAGGAUAACUUUUUGAAAAUGAAAACAAAUGGGAAAUGCUCCUCAUAAUGGAAGAAGUUUGAUAGGUAUGUGCCACAUUCUGGAUGAUUUGAUACUCCCUCUCUAUUUGUCUGCCUUCCUCACCCUGUGACAGAUGGCUCCACAGAAGAAAGCCAUCGUGGCCCGUCUUAGCAUCUCUUGCAAAAUCAGAGAUUCAUGCAACCACUUCUGCAACCAGGUUGUGACCAUCACAAUGGAAGUUGUGCUCCCUAAAAUAAAUAAAGUCAUCAUUUGUGUGCAUGCAUAUAUAUUCUGGGAAUCCAUGCUUUGACCCAUGCACCACGUUUUUCUCUCUGCCUUUAUUCACAAAACACAUACAGAGUUUCCAUCAUUCUAAGCUUCAGUUACACUCUUCUCUGCACAUGGUAUAUUACCUCCCAUGCUGGUCACAGAAACAUUGAAUCUUCUAGUUGGAAGGGACCCCAAGGGUCAUCUAGUCCAACCCUCUGCAAUGCAGGAAUCUGAGCUAAAGUGACCAUCCAACCUCUGCUUAAAAACCUCCAAGGAAGGAGAGUCCACCCCCUCUCAUGGGAAUCUGUUCCACUGCUGAAUAACUCUUAGAGUCAGAAAGUUUUUUCCAAACGUUCAGUCAGAAUCUCCUUGCAACUUGAAGCCAUUGGUUCGAAUCCUACCUUCCAGAGCAGGAGAAAACAAGCAUGCUCCCUCCCCCAUGUGAGAGCCCUUAAGAUAUCUGAAGAUGACCAUCAUAUCUCCUCCCAGUCUCCUCUUUUCUGGGCUAAACAUACCCAGCUCCUUCAAGGGCUCCUCAUAAGACUUAGUUUCCAGACCUUUGAUCAUCUUGGUUGCCCUAUUUACACUUUCCAACCUGUCAACAACCCUCUUAAAUUGUGGUGCCCAGAUUUGGACACAGUGUUCCAAGUGUGGUCUGACCCAGGCAGAAGAGAGCAGUUCUAUGACUUCCCUUGAUCUGGACACUAGACUUCUGUUGAUGCAGCCUAGAACAGCAUUGGCUUUUUUUGCUGCUGCAUCACACUGUUGACCAUGGGUUGGCAAGGUUUACCUCGCCUGGGCCAAUUCACUUCAGUGGAGAUCCCUCCGUGGGCCGGAUCAUGCGCGUGCAUGCCCCCGAUUUCUGGCAACUGCGUCUGCGCAGACACAAUUUCCGGCACUGCGGAAGCAAGUCCCUGUGCCGCGCUGCGCCGGUUUAGCAUACCAUGUGGGACCUUGCCAAGAGGGAGGUUUGGGGGUGGCUUGUGGGCCAGUUAAAUGACCCCCGUGGGCCGCUUGUGGCCCAUGGGCCUUAGGUUGCCUACCCCUGCUGUUGACUCAUGUUAAGCUUGUGGUCCACCAAGACCCCUAGAUCCUUUUCACAUGUACUGCUAGUAAGCCAGGUGUCCCCCAUUUUACAUUUGCGCAGAACCUGACAUUUGUCCCUUCAGAAAUGCAUUUUGUUAGCCUGAGCCCAGUUCUUCAAUCUGUUAAGGUCAUUUUGAAUUCUGAUUCUGUCUUCUGCAGCAUUAGCCACCCCAAUGGCUCAGGGAGAGGACAGAACCCUGAGGCACCCCACAAGUGAGAGCCCAGGAGUCUGAACACUCAUCCCCCAAUACCACUUUCUGAACACGGCCCAGGAGAAAGGAGCAGAACCACUAUAUAACAGUGUCCUCAGCCCCUCUAGACAGUCCAGAAGGAUGUCAUGGUCGAUGGUAUCAAAAGCUGCUGAGAGAUCCAGCAGAACUAGGAAACAGCUUUCAUCUUUGUCCCUAGCCCACCGAAGAUCAUCGACCAGCGUGACCAAGGCAGUUUCAGUCCCAUGGUGAGGCCUGAAUCCCGAUUAGAAGGGAACCAAAUGGUCCGCAUCCUCCAGGUAUGAGCAAUCACCUGCCGAUUCAGCAACCACCUGCUCAAUCACCUUGCCCAAGAAUGGAAGAUUUGAGCCGUUAGUUCAUUUUGUUCAAUUAUUUUAGCAUAUUGUUAUGGUUGAAAUAAAAAUAAAAUAAUAAUAAUAAUAAUAAUAAUAAAUUGUCCAGUUAGUAGCUCCUUAUAGACCAACUAAGUUUGUUCUGGUGUAAGCUUUUGUGUACAUAUACACUUUUUCAGAUACCUGUUGUAAGCCAUUUGAGUGCCAUAUUUGGGCAGCAGAGGUGGGAUAAUUUUUUUUUCAUAAAGAAACAAAAUUAUACAAAUACAGAAUUGUAAAGAUUUUCUAGUACCAUUAUUUAUUAAUGUGCUGCUCUUUGUAGUUCCAAUGAAGGCUUGCUUGUUUUCAUUGACUCUCAACUUCUGUCUUCUUGUUUCCUCUCUUUCUUCCCUUCCUCCAUUUUGCCUAGAUAGUCAGUGCAAAUUUGAACCAUGUUUUACAGCUCUCACGAUUUUCAACCUCUUAAUUCUGUGCUGGAUUAAAUUUUGUACAUUUUGCUGUUCAGUGUGGUUCAGUAACAUUUGAAUUCAGUCCCCCAUCCCCAUUUAUAAAUACACAGAAGCUCGCUCGUUUUCCUAUUCAUUCAUACCAACUCAGACCCAGUUAUUAUAGUAGAAAUGGAAAAAGCUAACUACUACAUACAUGAAGGUUUGAUUGAUUGAGAACAUUACUUGUGGUUAUUGUUUUCCCUGUAGAUUUGAAGCUUGAGUCAGUUCAAUCAAUAAAUGCAC